rnacentral:rRNA from 1 species
GUGAGGGAUGACGGCCUUCGGGUUGUAAACCUCUUUCACCACCGACGAAGCGCAAGUGACGGUAGGUGGGGAAGAAGCACCGGCCAACUACGUGCCAGCAGCCGCGGUAAUACGUAGGGUGCGAGCGUUGUCCGGAAUUAUUGGGCGUAAAGGGCUCGUAGGCGGUUUGUCGCGUCGGGAGUGAAAACCUCGGGCUUAACUCGGGGCUUGCUUUCGAUACGGGCAGACUGGAGGUAUGCAGGGGAGAACGGAAUUCCUGGUGUAGCGGUGAAAUGCGCAGAUAUCAGGAGGAACACCGGUGGCGAAGGCGGUUCUCUGGGCAUGACCUGACGCUGAGGAGCGAAAGUGUGGGGAGCGAACAGGAUUAGAUACCCUGGUAGUCCACACCGUAAACGUUGGGCGCUAGGUGUGGGAUCCAUUCCACGGGUUCCGUGCCGCAGCUAACGCAUUAAGCGCCCCGCCUGGGGAGUACGGCCGCAAGGCUAAAACUCGAAGGAAUUGACGGGGGCCCGCACAAGCGGCGGAGCAUGCGGAUUAAUUCGAUGCAACGCGAAGAACCUUACCUGGGUUUGACAUAUGCGGAAAACCUAUAGAGAUAUAGGGUCCUUACGGGCCGCAUACAGGUGGUGCAUGGCUGUCGUCAGCUCGUGUCGUGAGAUGUUGGGUUCAGUCCCGCAACGAGCGCAACCCUUGCUCUCAGUUGCCAGCACCUCGGGUGGC